AUGUUGGGGGAUAGAGAGAAGAGAAAAGAUUAUGAAGGAGGAUACAAAUGGCGAAAACAAAGAAGGGAAUAGAGUAAACAGUGUUGAAGAAGGAGGGGAAGGAAAGUGUAGAGGAAGAAGAUGGUAAUGAAAAAGUAGAAAAAGACAGACAGCCAUGAUGUCCCUGCUGGAUCUGAAAAAGGAAACUUCGGGUACUCCUGCCGCCAAACGUUCCAAAUAUGACUCCAGCAUCGCGCGUGACCCAGGCGGACUAGAAGUACCAACUGAAGUCUAUGUCCGAAUCCUGACAAUUCCAUACAUGUUGUCUUCUUCCAGACUUGCAAACUGAUGUUUAUGUUUGAAUCCAGUAUCGCACCAGACUUCGAACUAGAGUUUUUCGAAUACGCAUACGUAAACGCGGUGGAACUAAAGUAGCACUCACGUGCACGGGACAGACCCAUUGAACUACAACCGGU